rnacentral:rRNA from 1 species
GAGCAAACAGGAUUAGAUACCCUGGUAGUCCACGCCCUAAACGAUGUCAACUGGUUGUUGGGUCUUCACUGACUCAGUAACGAAGCUAACGCGUGAAGUUGACCGCCUGGGGAGUACGGCCGCAAGGUUAAAACUCAAAUGAAUUGACGGGGGCCCGCACAAGCGGUGGAGCAUGUGGUUUAAUUCGAAGCAACGCGCAGAACCUUACCAACCCUUGACAUCCUGUGCUACAUCCAGAGAUGGAUGGUUCCCUUCGGGGACGCAGUGACAGGUGCUGCAUGGCUGUCGUCAGCUCGUGUCGUG